GUAUUGAACUUCUGUUAUGGCCAAGAUACUAGAAAAGAUUCUGUAUACAGAAAAGUGAAUAAUAGAAAGUGUGUAUUUAUAUAAAUAGCUAAGUGGCUUAAUUUCCUAUUGAUAUUGUAACAAAUUGUCACAAAGCUUAAAAACCACACAAAUAUAUUAUUUUACACUUCUGUGGAUCAGAAAUUUGAAAUGAAUCAUACAGGGCUAAAAUCUGGGUGUUAGCAUCUGUUACUUCUCAAAGCUGAGGUGAAGAAUCCUUUUCCUAAUCUUUUCCAGGUUCUAGGAGUUUCCCGCAUGCAUUUGCUCUGUGCUAAUAGAAAAUGAGAUAUAGUCUUUAGAUUUACCAUAUUUUUUGUUUUUUAAUUUUUCAUUUCACUUACUUCCAUUUCUCACUUCUGCCACAGUAUAUUGGUUACAAACAAAUUAUAAGGUCGC
rnacentral:lncRNA from 1 species